rnacentral:rRNA from 1 species
GAUGAACGCUGGCGGCGUGCCUAAUACAUGCAGGUCGAGCAAACAGACGAGGAGCUUGCUCCUCUGACGUUAGCGGCGGACGGGUGAGUAACACGUGGAUAACCUACCUAUAAGACUGGGAUAACUUCGGGAAACCGGAGCUAAUACCGGAUAAUAUAUUGAACCGCAUGGUUCAAUAGUGAAAGACGGUUUUGCUGUCACUUAUAGAUGGAUCCGCGCCGCAUUAGCUAGUUGGUAAGGUAACGGCUUACCAAGGCAACGAUGCGUAGCCGACCUGAGAGGGUGAUCGGCCACACUGGAACUGAGACACGGUCCAGACUCCUACGGGAGGCAGCAGUAGGGAAUCUUCCGCAAUGGGCGAAAGCUUGACGGAGCAACGCCGCGUGAGUGAUGAAGGUCUUCGGAUCGUAAAACUCUGUUAUUAGGGAAGAACAAAUGUGUAAGUAACUAUGCACGUCUUGACGGUACCUAAUCAGAAAGCCACGGCUAACUACGUG